GAUGAACGCUGGCGGCGUGCCUAAUACAUGCAAGUCGAACGAGGUCCUUGCCUUCGGGUGAGGUCCUAGUGGCGAACGGGUGAGUAACACGUUGGUGACCUGCCCCGAAGAGGGGGACAACCCCGGGAAACUGGGGCUAAUACCCCACUGUGAUCCAGAGAGUUAGAGGUCUUUGGAUGAAAUGGAGCAAUCCGCUUCGGGAGGGGCCUGCGGCCUAUCAGCUUGUUGGUGGGGUGAUGGCCUACCAAGGCGACGACGGGUAGCCGGCCUGAGAGGGCGACCGGCCACACUGGGACUGAGACACGGCCCAGACUCCUACGGGAGGCAGCAGUGGGGAAUCUUGCGCAAUGGGCGAAAGCCUGACGCAGCGACGCCGCGUGAGGGAUGACGGCCU
rnacentral:rRNA from 1 species